rnacentral:rRNA from 1 species
UACGAAGGGUGCAAGCGUUACUCGGAAUUACUGGGCGUAAAGCGUGCGUAGGUGGUUCGUUAAGUCUGUCGUGAAAGCCCCGGGCUCAACCUGGGAAUGGCGAUGGAUACUGGCGGGCUAGAGUGCGGUAGAGGAUGGUGGAAUUCCCGGUGUAGCGGUGAAAUGCGUAGAGAUCGGGAGGAACACCCGUGGCGAAGGCGGCUCUCUGGGACGGUACUGACGCUGAGACGCGAAAGCGUGGGGAGCGAACAGG